rnacentral:rRNA from 1 species
UACGUAGGGUGCGAGCGUUAAUCGGAAUUACUGGGCGUAAAGCGUGCGCAGGCGGUUCGUUAAGUUCGUUGUGAAAGCCCCGGGCUCAACCUGGGAACUGCAAUGGAAACUGGCGGGCUUGAGUGUGGCAGAGGGGGGUGGAAUUCCGCGUGUAGCAGUGAAAUGCGCAGAUAUCAGGAGGAACACCGAUGGCGAAGGCAGUGAUCUGGGCCAGUACUGACGCUGAGGAGCGAAAGCGUGGGGAGCAAACAGG